GACGAACGCUGGCGGCGUGCUUAACACAUGCAAGUCGAACGGAAAGGCCCUGCUUUUGUGGGGUACUCGAGUGGCGAACGGGUGAGUAACACGUGAGUAACCUGCCCUUGACUUUGGGAUAACUUCAGGAAACUGGGGCUAAUACCGGAUAGGAGCUCCUGCUGCAUGGUGGGGGUUGGAAAGUUUCGGCGGUUGGGGAUGGACUCGCGGCUUAUCAGCUUGUUGGUGGGGUAGUGGCUUACCAAGGCUUUGACGGGUAGCCGGCCUGAGAGGGUGACCGGCCACAUUGGGACUGAGAUACGGCCCAGACUCCUACGGGAGGCAGCAGUGGGGAAUAUUGCACAAUGGGCGGAAGCCUGAUGCAGCAACGCCGCGUGCGGGAUGACGGCCUUCGGGUUGUAAACCGCUUUCGCCUGUGACGAAGCGUGAGUGACGGUAAUAGGUAAAGAAGCACCGGCUAACUACGUG
rnacentral:rRNA from 1 species